GAGGGGGGGGGGGCAGAGGACUUGAGCUGGGCUCAGUGAGGCUGGAGCUUCCAGGCGGGACGGGCUUGGAGCGCGUGGGCGCUGGGUGGUGAUUAGGCGCUAGCAGCCGGAAAGCUCUCUCCUGCACUCUCUGUGGACUGAGCCGCUUAGUGCCGACGUCUCCGUGCCAGCCGGGUGCAGCCAGCGAGACGGAGAGUGGGCAGGCGGGAGCCCCCGUGGCGGGCUGCGCAGAACACGCCCGAGCCCCCAGCCAUGGCGGAUAAAUGCAGCGGGGGGUUACUGAAUGGUGCCGUCCCCGGAGAGGCGACCAAGCGAGACGAGAACGUGAAACGGGGCAACUGGACCAACCAGAUUGAGUUUGUGCUGACGAGUGUGGGCUAUGCCGUGGGGCUGGGCAACGUGUGGCGCUUCCCCUACCUCUGCUACCGCAACGGGG